AAUAGAUACCCGGGUAGUCCAUGCCGUAAACGUUGGGAACUAGGUGUGGGUCUCAUUCCACGAGAUCCGUGCCGCAGCUAACGCAUUAAGUUCCCCGCCUGGGGAGUACGGCCGCAAGGCUAAAACUCAAAGGAAUUGACGGGGGCCCGCACAAGCGGCGGAGCAUGCGGAUUAAUUCGAUGCAACGCGAAGAACCUUACCAAGGCUUGACAUAUGCGAGAACGCGGCAGAGAUGUCGUUCUCUUUGGACACUCGCAUACAGGUGGUGCAUGGUUGUCGUCAGCUCGUGUCGUGAGAUGUUGGGUUAAGUCCCGCAACGAGCGCAACCCUCGUUCUAUGUUGCCAGCACGUGAUGGUGGGGACUCAUAGGAGACUGCCGGGGUCAACUCGGAGGAAGGUGGGGAUGACGUCAAAUCAUCAUGCCCCUUAUGUCUUGGGCUUCACGCAUGCUACAAUGGCCGGUACAAAGGGCUGCGAAACCGCGAGGUGGAGCGAAUCCCAAAAAACCGGUCUCAGUUCGGAUUGGGGUCG
rnacentral:rRNA from 1 species